rnacentral:lncRNA from 1 species
GGCGAUGCUCUAAUCAAUGUUGAAGGGAAACACAAUUAGAUCAUGUAUAUCUUGUUGGACAUACACAUAUGUAUAUAUGCAUGUAAUGAAGGGUUUAGGUUUUGAAAUCACCCAUACCACCUUCCGCUUGAAAUCUUGUCCAAGCCUAAGGGAGAACCGAUUGUUGUUCAUCCCUUGAACCCUAUGUACCGUUCACAUAUGUGGCAUUAUCAUAUAUUUAAAGAACUUAAUCUUAAUGUACCAUUAGCAGCGUUUAAAAUGUGGCAUACGCUGCUAGAUCAUGUCUUAAUAGUGUCCCACACUAGUAAACGUUGCUAGAGUGAUUUAUGUAGGGUAACACAUCAGAAACCAAAAAAUAUGUACUAUGUACACGCUCACGAUCACUAUGAAGAUGCCUACAAGGUUUGAUCUGAUCAUUACUGACACGUAGCUAAGCGGAAGAAGAGUUUAUGGAGAUCAUUGGUGCAGAUCCCUGCAGCUAGGAUUUUACAACCUCCCAACCUCAAGGAUGUACUCCCUCGGUCAUUCCCUUGGAUGAUCCCUCAGACAAAUCUUUGGAAGGCUCUCAGACAUAACCUUGGACAGUCUCUCGUACUACACUUCGGGAGGCUCUCACACAAAAACUUGAAUAGUUCCUCGGACAGCCCUUCAGGAGGCCAUAGGAACAGAAAGUCGAUCAGUCACUCGAAUAGCCCUCCAGGAGGCACUCGGACAGAAACUCAAUUAACACUCGGACAACAACUCAACGUAUACCUUGAACUAAGAUCAAAACUACGACCUCUCUACCAGCUUGCGCACAUCCGUGUGAACUAUCCGACAUGGUUUCACCGUUGAGAACUAGGACCUAACAAAGACUAGACAACCUUUCGGCUCCACAAAACUAUUUCGUGUGAGGGAGAGAGAGAUGGAAGAUCAUGCAUGCCUUG